UUUCCUCGGCAGUAUAGUUCUUAUUGUUCACAUUAUGUUCUGUGGAUUAGCCAGAGUAACUGAAAAAUUGUUUCUGGGAAAAUGCUGCUGUCGAAGAUUUCACAUCACAACUCCAUUCACCUCCAUUUUACUGGGAUGAUGGCAAAAAUAAAACAGAUAACUCAAAAAACAAGAACAAAAAAACAACUAUCUACAGCAGCUAGAUACCACUACAGUUUGUACCCAGUUUCCUGCUGGGGUAGGCUCUAUGGGGAAUAAGCGGUUAUGGAGGAUGAAUGGAUGGAUGAAAAGAUAAUUGCUGACAGAUGUCCCAUGCACUUGUCACUCAUCAUAGAGUCAUGGUUUGGCUCUGACUAUAAACACAGACAACACUCAACCCUUCCUCUCUGAUCUGCUGACUCACCCUGCACAUAGCGGACUACUCAGUCCAGGAGGGAGUGAUACCAGGAAGAGUAUGCUCUGUUGCUGCAAGGCUCAUAGAUGACAGGCUAAGCUGCAUCCUUUAUGACUGCAUAACAACAGAGAUCUCCCCAUGGAAAGUGAAGGUGGAAUGCACUUAACAGCACAGAUGUGUCAGUGCAGGAUGAUAAUCUCACAGGAAUAACUCACUAUGCAACAACAUGUGUUUGAUUCUCACAUCCUUAUGCACUGACUGAAAA